rnacentral:rRNA from 1 species
AUUGAACGCUGGCGGCAGGCUUAACACAUGCAAGUCGAACGAGUGGAGGACGGGUGAGUAAUGCCUGGGAAUCUAGCUUAUGGAGGGGGAUAACUACGGGAAACUGUAGCUAAUACCGCGUACCAUAGGAUGAGCCCAAGUGGGAAUAGGUAGUUGGUGGGGUAAAGGCUCACCAAUCCGAAGAUCUCUAGCUGGUCUGAGAGGAUGACCCGACACACUGGGACUGAUACACGGCCCAGACUCCGACGGGAGGCAGCAGUGGGGAAUAUUGCGCAAUGGGGGCAACCUGACGCAGCCAUGCCGCGUGAAGGAAGAAGGCCGUCGGGUUGUAAAGUUCUUUCGGUAGCGAGGCGUUAACUACAGAAGAAGCACCGGCUAACUCCGUGCGAGCAGCCGCGGUAAUUC